UUCUCUCUUUUAUUAAUGCAAGGACCAGGUUUUUUUGACAUGCAUAAAUUUGAACAAAUCAACACUCUUACUUCAGAUGGAGCUGACAUAGAAAGUAGUAUUAGCUUACCGGGUGUUGCUCAUGAUUAUAUGAGAUUUAUUUGUGGUCAAUCCAGGUGUGGAUCCAGGUAUACCGAAUGUACGUUAUAUCAAAAUGAACCAUAAAAUUUGUCAAAAUUAUUUCUCUACUUCUACUGAUUGUGGAUAAAUUCUUUAUAU
rnacentral:lncRNA from 1 species